rnacentral:rRNA from 1 species
AUUGAACGCUGGCGGCAGGCCUAACACAUGCAAGUCGAGCGGAUGAAGGGAGCUUGCUCCUGGAUUCAGCGGCGGACGGGUGAGUAAUGCCUAGGAAUCUGCCUGGUAGUGGGGGAUAACGUCCGGAAACGGGCGCUAAUACCGCAUACGUCCUGAGGGAGAAAGUGGGGGAUCUUCGGACCUCACGCUAUCAGAUGAGCCUAGGUCGGAUUAGCUAGUUGGUGGGGUAAAGGCCUACCAAGGCGACGAUCCGUAACUGGUCUGAGAGGAUGAUCAGUCAACAGGGAACAGAGACACAGUCGAGGGUCAUACGGGAGGAGUCAGUGGGCAAUAGUGACCGAUGCGGAAACGCCUGAUAGAGCCGGGCGGCGUGUGUGAAUAAGGUCUGCGGAUUGUAACUCACGUUAAGUUGGUAGGAAGGGAAAUAAGUUAAUACCUAGUUGUAUUGAAGUUACAAACAGAAUAAGAACCGGCUAACUUCGUGCCAGCAGCCGCGGUAAUAAUCGGAAGACCACUCUUCUCAAU